GGGGUUAUCCCUUAAAUGGUAGAGGGCUCGUUUUGCAUACGAGUAGUCCGAGUUCGAGUCUCGGUAACUCCA
rfam:Mucor ambiguus DNA, scaffold: scf_mam1_v10929, strain NBRC 6742.